CAGCUCUCGUGGUGGGGUGGGGGUGGGGUUUCUGGUUAGUUGUCCAGGUUCUGGCGUCGCUGCGGGUGGCGAAACUGAAGUAGGCUAGGUCGACGGACUACCCAAGGCCAGAGAGUGUGGGCGGGAGGCCGUCGGAAUUCUGUGACUUUCUGGGGUGCAGGCAGCACAACGCUGUGCAGUGCCUGGACGGAAGCCAGACAGCAUUGCUAUGCACCGCUGGGCGGUCCCUAAGUUUCCAUGCCUGGUUGUUCUCAAGGUUUGCUCCGGAUCUGAUAGUCGCCCGUGACCCCUUUCCGCAGCCUGGCAGCCAGCCUCUGGAGCUCAUCUCACAUAAUGGCCUGCAAAUGUCGUUAUCAGGCACCAGAAAGCAGGGAACUCUUGCGACGGCUUCCAAGGAUACUGGAGACUCAGACAUCAUCUCAUGCUAAGCUGUUUGAGACAAACCACAAGUGAUCCCAGUCCUUGGAAGCUGGAGGCAGGCGAUCAGAAUUCCAAGGACUACACAGCAAGUUUGUGACUAGCCUGAGAUACAGGAGACGCUGGAGGCAGGCGAUCAGAAUUCCAAGGACUACACAGCAAGCUGGAGGCAGGCAAUCAGAAUUCCAAGGACUACACAGCAAGCUGGAGGCAGGCGAUCAGAAUUCCAAGGACUACACAGCAAGUUUGAGACUAGCCUGAGAUACAGGAGACCUAGUCUCAGGAGUUAAAAAAAUAAAAUAAAGACAAGCCUUGAAACCAAGACUCUCUCCAUUCUGAAACCUUUGGAGAAAAGGCCAAGUUGUGCCUGGACUAUCAUGCCCAAAAGCUUCUCUGAAAUUUCACCCUGCUCACCGGAAGGCCUGCCUAGCAGAGGUUCCAGUCACUUCAAUGUGUGGAUGACUUCCUCUGGGCCCUUUCAUGGCAGCAGGUGAGGGUAUUUUUGGCGGCCAAGGGCAGCAAAGUUUUGUUUUGUUUUCAUUUGCAAUAAGGUUUCACUAUGGAGGGCAGGGAAGCCAGCAUCUCACUAUAUAGCUGAGGGUAGCCUCAAACUUGUGAUCCUCCUGCCUUAGCCUCUUCAGUGCUGGGUCUGUAGUCAUGAAUCAUCAUAUCUGGAUAAGAAAGGGGCACUUUUAAAGUCAUAGGUGAAGUAUAAAUUAUUGCAGUCAUGGAAAACAGAAUUAAACUGGGUAUGAUGGUACACGCCUUUAAUCCCAGCACUCAGGAGGAAGAGGCGGGAAAAUCUCUGUGAGUUCGAGGCCAACCUGGUCUACAAAGUUCCAGGACAGCCAGGGUUGUUACACAGAGAAACCCUGUCUUGGAAAUAAAAAAAAAAAAGUCUAUUUGGCAUGUGAUCCUGUUCAGCCUCACUGCUGAGUAUAUCCCCCAAGGGUGUGGAGGUCAGCAGUGGCCCCUGCCUCCUAUGCAGAUGAGAUAAAAAAAAAUGGGCCACUCGUAAAAGACAAACUAGAUGCAAUUCAAACCCCUGCCGUCCGGCUACUAAGGUCUGAGGAAGAGCAAAAGCAGACUCUGAGGCUAGAGGAAAUCUCCGAGUAGAUACACUGCAAAGAAUACUGCCUUUGGGAGUCUUACUCGAGGAGACACCUGCCACACUCAACUGGAGAAACCUCCAAAAGAUCUUAGUAACAUCACUGUAAGUCACAUAGAACCAGCGGCUGAAUAGAAAGCUGGAAAAGGAAUGGCUUGCUGGCUCAGUACCAUGUCUUGUUUGAAUUUAAGUUGCUAUGGCAGAAACUGGAGGAUAAGGGCUUCUACAGAAAAGAGGUUUAUUUUGCUUACCAUUGGGGAGAUGCAGCAGCGUGACAGAAGCAUUUGCUUGGCUUUGGUGAGUGUCCCUUGACAGCACCAUGGUAGCAGAAGUCCAUGCAGAAGAGAUGGCUGUACAAAGCAGCAGGUGGUGCCAAGACAUCCGAACAUGAGCCCUAACAGCCUAGUCUGGGGAGAACUAACCUCCAUGAGACUAGCAUCGGUCCCUCAACCCCCACAAGACUAGCAUCAGUCCCUCCUGAGGCUGAUGCUCUUACUGACUCGAUCAUCUCCCAGUAGACCCUUAACAGUCACCCAACACACACACAACCUAAAAGCUGAUUUUGAUAAAAAAGUGCUGAGCCUUCAAUUGGUCCAGACAAGUACCCCAUGAUGAGAUAAUACACCAACUAGGAGUGGCCCCAAGCAGGAACGGCCGGUCAUCUGAUGGUCCCCUCAAAUGCUCUGGAACCAUUUUUAAAGAACCUGGACCAAAUAAAUGACCAACCAAAUCACAGAUCAACCAUGCCUGCUUAGCUUAGUCCUCACCUGCUCCAGUUACUCCCUGUACUAGCUGGUUUUGUGUCAAUUUGAUACAAGCUGGAGUCAUCACAGAGAAAGGAGCUUCAGUUGAGGAAAUGCCUCCAUGAGAUCCAGCUGCAAGGCAUUUCCUCAAUUAGUGAUCAAGGGGGAAAGGCCCCUUGUGGGUGGAACCAUCUCUUGGCUGGUAGUCUUGGGUUCUAUAAGAGAACAGGCUGAGCAAGCCAGGGGAAGCAAGCCAGUAAAGAACAUCCCUCCAUGGCCUCUGCAUCAGCUCCUGCUUUCUGACUUGCUUGAGUUCUAGUCCUGACUUCCUUGGUGAUGAACAGCAGUAUGGAAGUGUAAGCCGAAUAAACCCUUUGCUCCCCAAUUUGCUUCUUGGUCAUGAUGUUUUGUCCAGGAAUAGAAACCCUGACUAAGACACCCCCUAUUUUAAGUUUACAUUGGUUAAGUUUAUGGCUUGAUCUCCAUCUUCCAAAUACAACCAUACUGAAAAUUAAAUGUGUCUGCCUUUUCCUCUGCAUUUCCUUGCUUUAUUUAUGGGGUGAGUAGCUAGAUUUUGCUGAGGCCUUCCAGUGCUCACACCCAUGGGCCCAGCUCACCUGCACUCCUGUCACCAGGGCCAGCUCUACUUUGCUGCCCAAGUGAGUUGUGGGGCCUGGUCUGAGUGUUCAGCUGAUGAUGGGAAGAGACAGCUCUCCCCAUCUCUUGGUGAGACAUUUUCUUUUUAGUGAUUGCUGUGAGUGGAGCCCUCCCUGGGCUGGUGGUUC
rnacentral:lncRNA from 1 species